GCUUUGGUGGCCUAGUGGUUAGAGUGUCAGCCUUGGAUUCGGGAGGUCGAGGGUUUAAAACCCGGCCGAAGUU